UACGUAGGUGGCAAGCGUUGUCCGGAUUUAUUGGGUUUAAAGGGUGCGUAGGCGGUCUUUUAAGUCAGUGCUGAAAUACUCCAGCUUAACUGGAGGGGUGGCAUUGAUACUGGAAGACUUGAGUGCAGUCGAAGUAGGCGGAAUUGACGGUGUAGCGGUGAAAUGACUUAGAUAUCGUCAAGAACACCGAUAGUGAAGACAGCUUACUAGGCUGCAACUGACGCUGAGGCACGAAAGUGUGGGGAUCAAACAGG
rnacentral:rRNA from 1 species